GACGAACGCUGGCGGCGUGCUUAACACAUGCAAGUCGAACGGAAAGGCCCUGCUUUUGUGGGGUGCUCGAGUGGCGAACGGGUGAGUAACACGUGAGUAACCUGCCCUUGACUUUGGGAUAACUUCAGGAAACUGGGGCUAAUACCGGAUAGGAGCUCCUGCUGCAUGGUGGGGGUUGGAAAGUUUCGGCGGUUGGGGAUGGACUUGCGGCUUAUCGGCUUGUUGGUGGGGUAGUGGCUUACCAAGGCUUUCACGGGUAGCCGGCGUGGGAGGGUGACCGGCCACAUUGGGACUGAGAUACGGCCCAGACUCCUACGGGAGGCAGCAGUGUGGAAUAUUGCACAAUGGGCGGAAGCCUGAUGUAGCAACGCCGCGUGCGGGAUGACGGCCUUCGGGUUGUAAACCGCUUUCGCCUGUGACGAAGCGUGAGUGACGGUAAUGGGUAAAGAAGCACCGGCUAACUACGUGCCAGCCGCCGCUUAA
rnacentral:rRNA from 1 species